ACCUACGGGAGGUAGCAGUGGGGAAUAUUGCGCAAUAGGGGAAACCCUGAUGCAGCGACGCCGCGUGAGUGAAGAAGUAUUUCGGUAUGUAAAGCUCUAUCAGCAGGGAAGAAAAUGACGGUACCUGACUAAGAAGCCCCGGCUAACUACGUGCCAGCAGCCGCGGUAAUACGUAGGGGGCAAGCGUUAUCCGGAUUUACUGGGUGUAAAGGGAGCGUAGACGGCAGCGCAAGUCUGAAGUGAAAUCCCAUGGCUUAACCAUGGAACUGCUUUGGAAACUGUGCAGCUGGAGUGCAGGAGAGGAA
rnacentral:rRNA from 1 species